GACGAACGCUGGCGGCGUGCCUAAUACAUGCAAGUCGAACGCAGUGGGGACGGGUGAGUAACACGUGGGUAACCUCCCAUCAGAGGGGAUAACACUUGGAAACAGGUGCUAAACCGAUACUGAUGGAUGAACCCGCGGUGCAUUAGCUAGUUGGUGGGGUAACGGCUCACCAAGGCCACGAAGCAAAGCCGACCUGGGAGGUUGAUCGUCCACACUGAAACUGAGACACGGCCAGGACCCCUACGGAAGGCAGCAGUGGGGAAUGUGCCGAAAUGGGCUAAAGUCUAGCCGGACAACGCCCCGGCAGCGAAAAGGGUAUUCGGAACGGAAAGCACUGUUGUUAGAGAAGCGGUAUCGAACCAGAAGGCCACGGCUGACUACGUUGCAGCAGCCGCGGUAAUUC
rnacentral:rRNA from 1 species